GAGGGUAUAGCUCAGUGGUAGAAGGCAUGCUUAGUGUGCAUGAGGUCCUGGGUUCAAUCCCCAGUACAUACC
rnacentral:tRNA from 1 species